rnacentral:rRNA from 2 species
GCAUAUCAAUAAGCGGAGGAAAAGAAACUAACAAGGAUUCCCCUAGUAACGGCGAGUGAAGAGGGAAGAGCCCAAGAUUGAAAGCUGGCGUCUUCGGCGUCCGCAUUGUAAUCUCAAGAAGUGUUUUCCGCUUCGGACCAAGCCUAAGUCCCUUGGAAAAGGGCAUCAUAGAGGGUGAUAAUCCCGUACAUGGCUUGGAGCGCCCGAAGCUUUGUGAUACGCUUUCUAAGAGUCGAGUUGUUUGGGAAUGCAGCUCAAAAUGGGUGGUAAAUGCCAUCUAAGGCUAAAUAUUGGGGAGAGACCGAUAGCGAACAAGUACAGUGAUGGAAAGAUGAAAAGAACUUUGAAAAGAGAGUUAAACAGUACGUGAAAUUGCCAAAAGGGAAGGGUAGGAGGUCAGAGAUGCGGCCUGGGAUUCAGCCUUGCUUUUGCUUGGUGUUUUUCCCAGAUUGCAGGCCAACGUCGGUUUUGGGCACUGGAGAAGGGUAGGAGGAACGUGGCACCUCUCGGGGUGUGUUAUAGCCUCCUACUGGAUACAGCGACCGAGACCGAGGACAGCAGCGUACUCGCAAGAGCGGGCCUUCGGGCACCUUUACGCUUAGGGCGUUGGCAUAAUGGCCCUCUACCACCCGUCUUGAAACACGGACC